rfam:Moellerella wisconsensis ATCC 35017 Sequence00022, whole genome shotgun sequence.
UCCUAUUUGAUGUACGAUUACUGAGUUUAGUGUGUUGUAUAAAUGUUAUCCUUGAUAGCUUUUGACCGCUUCCUUCUUAGUGUUUUUUCGAUUAAAUAGUCGACUCUGGCCAGUAUCUAUGCCAAACGGCAAGUUUUUUUGAUGUUAUAUAGGAAAAGUCAAAUGUCUGACAAAAUGAAAGGUCAAGUUAAGUGGUUCAACGAGUCUAAAGGCUUCGGUUUCAUCACUCCAGCUGAUGGUAGCAAAGACGUAUUCGUCCACUUCUCUGCCAUUCAAACCAAUGGUUUUAAAACUCUGGCAGAAGGCCAGCAAGUUGAAUUUUCAAUUGAAAAUGGCGCUAAAGGCCCAGCAGCUGCUAACGUAACUGCUAUCUAAGCUCUGCUUCGAUACUAAUUUCUAAAGCCCGUCACUUUUUAGUGACGGGCUUUUU